rnacentral:lncRNA from 1 species
GCAGUGUAAAAUAACUUUAAAAAAAAUGCGAAAUGGAUAACAAUAGUCAUAAUCCUAUCUUCGUACGGGCAUUUGUAGUAAAUGGUGGAUUAAACCUGUUCUAAUAUCUAGCUAAACCUCUCACUUGUAUGGCAGUAUAAAAUUAUGACGCAUACAAUUCCAUUAUAUUGACAACAAUGUGUGAACAAAACAAACAGACAUAAUAGGUACAAAUGUAAAAAAGAGGGAUAUAACAGCAGUCAAAAUUGUCAAUAAUCUUAAUCACUAUAAAACAAAAAAUA